CGGUUUAGUAAGUUCCUGGUAAAACCGGGCAGCUUAACUGUCCGUAUGCUAGGAAUACUGCUUUACUAGAGGGCGGGAGAGGUCUGAGGUACUGCGGGGGUAGGGGUGAAAUCUUAUAAUCCUCGCAGGACCACCAGUGGCGAAGGCGUCAGACUGGAACGCGCCUGACGGUGAGGGACGAAAGCCAGGGGAGCGAACCGGAUUAGAUACCCGGGUAGUCCUGGCCGUAAACGAUGCAUACUAGGCAAUGGUGCGGCUAUGAGCCGCAUCAGUACCGUAGGGAAACCGUUAAGUGUGCCGCCUGGGAA
rnacentral:rRNA from 1 species